rnacentral:rRNA from 1 species
UACGUAGGGUGCGAGCGUUGUCCGGAAUUAUUGGGCGUAAAGGGCUCGUAGGCGGUUUGUCGCGUCGGGAGUGAAAACCUUGGGCUUAACUCAGGGCUUGCUUUCGAUACGGGCAGACUAGAGGUAUGCAGGGGAGAACGGAAUUCCUGGUGUAGCGGUGAAAUGCGCAGAUAUCAGGAGGAACACCGGUGGCGAAGGCGGUUCUCUGGGCAUGAUCUGACGCUGAGGAGCGAAAGUGUGGGGAACGAACAGG